rnacentral:rRNA from 1 species
UACGUAGGGGGCAAGCGUUGUCCGGAUUCAUUGGGCGUAAAGAGCGUGUAGGCGGCCAGGUAGGUCGGUUGUGAAAACUGGAGGCUCAACCUUCAGAGGUCGACCGAAACCAUCUGGCUAGAGUCCGGGAGAGGAGAGUGGAAUUCCUGGUGUAGCGGUGAAAUGCGCAGAUAUCAGGAAGAACACCCAUGGCGAAAGCAGGCUUCUGGAC